AUUGAACGCUGGCGGCAGGCCUAACACAUGCAAGUCGAACGCCGUAGCAAUACGGAGUGGCAGACGGGUGAGUAACGCGUGGGAACAUACCCCUCGGUUCGGAAUAACUUAGGGAAACUUGAGCUAAUACCGGAUACGUCCGAGGUUUAACCGGUCCUCGGAGAAAGAUUUAUCGCCGGAGGAUUGGCCCGCGUCUGAUUAGCUUGUUGGUGAGGUAAUGGCUCACCAAGGCGACGAUCAGUAGCUGGUCUGAGAGGAUGAUCAGCCACAUUGGGA
rnacentral:rRNA from 1 species